ensembl:lncRNA
UAUGUCGUCCGAAAACGGACAAAAACGUCAUAGUUUAGUAUGUCGUCCAAAAAUGGACUAAAACGUCAUAGGUCAGUAUGUCGUCCGAAAAUGGACAAAAACGUCAUAGCUGAGUAUGUCAUCCGAAAAUGGACUAAAACGUCAUAGAUUAGUAUGUCGUCCGAAAAUUGACUAAAACGUCAUAGGUUAGUAUGUCGUCCGAAAUAUCACCAAAACAUCAUAGUUUAGUAUGUCGUCCGAAAAUGGACAAAAACAUCAUAGGUUAGUAUGUCGUCCGAAAAUGGACAAAAACGUCAUAGGUUAGUAUGUUGUCCGAAAAUGGACUAAAACGUCAUAGGUUAGUAUGUCGUCCAAAAUAUCACCAAAACGUCAUAGGUUAGUAUGUCGUCCGAAAAUGGACAAAAACGUCAUAGUUUAGUAUGUCGUCCGAAAAUGGACAAAAACGUCAUAGUUUAGUAUGUCGUCCAAAAU